GCAAGUCGAGCGCACCUUCGGGUGAGCGGCGGACGGGUGAGUAACGCGUGGGAACGUGCCCUUUGGUUCGGAACAACACAGGNAAACUUGUGCUAAUACCGAAUGUGCCCUUCGGGGGAAAGAUUUAUCAGCCAUUGGAGCGGCCCGCGAUGGAUUAGGUAGUUGGUGGGGUAAAGGCCCACCAAGGCCGACGAUCCAUAACUGGUCUGAGAGGAUGAUCAGCCACAACUGGGACUGAGACACGGCCCAGACUCUUACGGGAGUCAGCAGUAGGGAUCUUGCGCAAUGGGCGAAAGCCUUACGCAGCCAUGCCGCGUGAAUGAUGAAGGUCUUAGGAUUGUGAAAUUCUUUCACCGGGGAAGAUAAUGACGGUACCCGGAGAAGAAGCCCCGGCUAACUUCGUGCCAGCAGCCGCGGUAAUACGAAGGGGGCUAGCGUUGCUCGGAAUUACUGGGCGUAAAGGGCGCGUAGGCGGAUAGUUUAGUCAGAGGUGAAAGCCCAGGGCUCAACCUUGGAACUGCCUUUGAUACUGGCUAUCUUGAGUUCGGGAGAGGUGAGUGGAAUGCCGAGUGUAGAGGUGAAAUUCGUAGAUAUUCGGCGGAACACCAGUGGCGAAGGCGACUCACUGGCCCGAUACUGACGCUGAGGCGCGAAAGCGUGGGGAGCAAACAGGAUUAGAUACCCUGGUAGUCCACGCUGUAAACGAUGAGUGCUAGUUGUCGGCAUGCAUGCA
rnacentral:rRNA from 1 species